UACGUAGGGUGCAAGCGUUAAUCGGAAUUACUGGGCGUAAAGCGUGCGCAGGCGGUUAUGUAAGACAGGUGUGAAAGCCCCGGGCUUAACCUGGGAAUGGCAUUUGGGACUGCAAGGCUUGAGUGCGGCAGAGGAGACUGGAAUUCCUGGUGUAGCAGUGAAAUGCGUAGAUAUCAGGAGGAAUACCGAUGGCGAAGGCAGGUCUCUGGGCUGACACUGACGCUCAUGCACGAAAGCGUGGGGAGCAAACAGG
rnacentral:rRNA from 1 species